rnacentral:rRNA from 1 species
CGCGGGAAAACUCACCAGGUCAGGACACGGUAAGGAUUGACGGACUGAAGGCUCUUUCUCGAUUCCGUGGAAAGUGGUGCAUGGCCGUUUUUGGUUGGUGGAUCGAUCCGUCUGGUUAAUUCCGUUAACGAACGAGACCUCGGCACUCCGAAUAGCGCGGCGGACGUCGCGGCCUCCGGGCCGUCUUCCGCACGAGCUUCUUAGAGGGACCGUCCCCCGCCGGGGAAGGAGGUGCGAGGCAACGACAGGUCUGUGAUGCCCUUAGAUGUUCUGGGCCGCACGCGCAUUACACUGACGCGUCCAACGGGUGACUCCCGACCCGAAGGGGCCGGGGAAUCCGCAAGGCGCGUCGUGAUGGGGAUUGAACGUUGCAAUUGUUGUUCACGAACGAGGAAUUCCUAGUAGGCGCGGGUCAUCAACCCGCGCCGAUUACGUCCCUGCCCUUUGUACAC